rnacentral:rRNA from 1 species
UACGAAGGGUGCAAACGUUGCUCGGAAUUAUUGGGCGUAAAGCGCACGUAGGCGGCACAACAAGUCGGAUGUGAAAUCCCUCGGCUUAACCAAGGAAGUGCAUCCGAAACUGCAGUGCUUGAGUACGAAAGAGGAUCGCGGAAUUCCCGGUGUAGAGGUGGAAUUCGUAGAUAUCGGGAGGAACACCAGUGGCGAAGGCGGCGAUCUGGGUCGAUACUGACGCUGAGGUGCGAAAGCGUGGGGAGCAAACAG